AAUAAGUGCAGUUUUGCACUAUUCACGUUCAACGUUUGACCGUCCGUCUUAUUUGAAAAUUGUUUAUGAUUAGUAUUUUUAUUGCUAUUAGAUGAUAAAACAUGAAUAGUACUUUAUGUGUUACUAAAUGUUUUUAAUUUUUUCAUAAAUUUUUCAAAUAAGACGGACGGUCAAACGUUGAACGUGAAUAGUGCAAAACUGCACUUAUU
rfam:Oryza sativa Japonica Group DNA, chromosome 11, cultivar: Nipponbare, complete sequence.